GUGAAUCAUCAAAUUUUUGAACGCAAAUUGCACUCUCCUCGAAUAGUAUGCCUGUUUGAGUUUCAGCCUAUAAAAAAUCAACAUCGUUGCUGUUUCGCUGUGGCGUUCGUCGGAAAUUUGGUCAUCUUAAAUCCUUUUGAUUUUUAAGCGACUUAAAAUUUUCUUUUGGUUCCAUUAACAUUUCUAAAUUCUAUUUCUUUACACGUUUAAUGUCCCGAUUUUUAUUAUACGUGACCAUCAUAUCAGAUCGCGUCC
rnacentral:misc_RNA from 1 species